rnacentral:rRNA from 1 species
UGGGGAAUAUUGGACAAUGGGGGCAACCCUGAUCCAGCAAUGCCGCGUGUGUGAAGAAGGCCUGCGGGUUGUAAAGCACUUUUGGCAGGGAUGAAAAGCACUGGAUUAAUAACCCAGUGUGUUGACCUAACCUGCAGAAGAAGCACCGGCUAACUCUGUGCCAGCAGCCGCGGUAAUACAGGGGGGUGCGAGCGUUAAUCGGAAUUACUGGGCGUAAAGGGCGCGUAGGCGGUCGAGUAAGUCGGAUGUGAAAUCCCCGGGCUUAACCUGGGAAUUGCAUUCGAUACUGCUUGGCUAGAGUGUGGAAGAGGGAAGCGGAAUUUCCGGUGUAGCGGUGAAAUGCGUAGAUAUCGGAAGGAACACCAGUGGCGAAGGCGGCUUCCUGGUCCAACACUGACGCUGAGGCGCGAAAGCGUGGGGAGCAAACAGGAUUAGAUACCCUUGUAGUCCCUGAGCGGGCUGGCAAGGCGCAU